rnacentral:rRNA from 1 species
AGCAGCCGCGGUAAUUCCAGCUCCAAUAGCGUAUAUUAAAGUUGUUGCAGUUAAAAAGCUCGUAGUUGAAUUUCGGGAUCAAUACGUCGGUCGUGCUUCGGUACGUACUAACGUUAUUGGUUUCUCCUUUCUAACAAAUCGUGAUGUCAUUAAUUUGGUGUUACGGGAGUUGGGACUGUUACUUUGAAAAAUUAGAGUGUUUAAAGCAAGCAAUCGCUCGAAUACAUUAGCAUGGAAUAAUGAAAUAGGACGUUCGAACCUAUUUUGUUGGUUUCUAGGAUCGACGUAAUGAUUAAUAGGGAUAGUUGGGGGCAUUAGUAUUCAAUUGUCAGAGGUGAAAUUCUUGGAUUUAUUGAAGACUAACUACUGCGAAAGCAUUUGCCAAGGAUGUUUUCAUUAAUCAAGAACGAAAGUUAGGGGAUCGAAGACGAUCAGAUACCGUCGUAGUCU